GACCUGGUGGUGAAAUGACUCACACCUGCAACCUAUAAUACGGGCAACCUGAUGGGUGCAGCAGGAGUCCCCGGUUCGAUUCCGGGCUGGGUCA